UGACCAGCGGGGUCGAUCGGCUUGACUGAAAAUCCGCGUGUCGGCAGUUCGAUUCUGCCCCUGGCCACCA
rnacentral:tRNA from 1 species